AGGUCCUUUUGGGAAGUAACGACUUGAGGGAGAGAGUGACGUUACUCAUUGAUACAGAGACACAACGAGGUUGAGCUGAUGUGAUGAUGGUGCUGCAAUGAGCGGAGUCUCCAGGGUUGUUAAUAAAUAGUUAACCUGUCUAGAAUAUGUCUUCAUACAUAUGUCUAGCUACUUUCCGCUGCAAGAUGUUGUUGAUGUUAUAGUAUGUUAUGUCAUACUUUGAGUUUUAAGAGAAUGGUUUCAUAUGAUGUAUAACUUGAUUAAUGAUAUUAAUUAAGUUU